rnacentral:rRNA from 1 species
CCUACGGGAGGCAGCAGUGGGGAAUAUUGCACAAUGGGGGGAACCCUGAUGCAGCAACGCCGCGUGAAGGAAGACGGUUUUCGGAUUGUAAACUUCUAUCAAUAGGGAAGAAAGAAAUGACGGUACCUGACUAAGAAGCCCCGGCUAACUACGUGCCAGCAGCCGCGGUAAUACGUAGGGGGCAAGCGUUAUCCGGAUUUACUGGGUGUAAAGGGAGCGUAGACGGCGAUGCAAGCCAGAUGUGAAAGCCCGGGGCUCAACCCCGGGACUGCAUUUGGAACUGUAUAGCUGGAGUGUCGGAGAGGCAGGCGGAAUUCCUAGUGUAGCGGUGAAAUGCGUAGAUAUUAGGAGGAACACCAGUGGCGAAGGCGGCCUGCUGGACGAUGACUGACGUUGAGGCUCGAAAGCGUGGGGAGCAAACAGGAUUAGAUACCCUAGUAGUC